rnacentral:rRNA from 1 species
GAUGAACGCUAGCGAUAGGCUUAACACAUGCAAGUCGAGGGGCAGCACAAGGUAGCUUGCUAUCUGGGUGGCGACCGGCGCACGGGUGCGUAACGCGUAUGCAACUUGCCCUAUACAGGAGGAUAACCCGUCGAAAGACGGACUAAUACUGCGUAUGCUCACAACUUGGCAUCCAGUGGUGAGGAAAGAAAUUCGGUAUAGGAUAGGCAUGCGUCCCAUUAGCUUGUUGGUGAGGUAACGGCUCACCAAGGCAACGAUGGGUAGGGGAACUGAGAGGUUUAUCCCCCACACUGGUACUGAGACACGGACCAGACUCCUACGGGAGGCAGCAGUGAGGAAUAUUAGUCAAUGGGCGCGAGCCUGAACCAGCCAAGUCGCGUGAAGGAUGACUGUCUUAUGGAUUGUAAACUUCUUUUAUACGGGAAUAACAAGAGUCACGUGUGACUCCCUGCAUGUACCGUAUGAAUAAGCAUCGGCUAACUCCGUG